UGCCUAAUACAUGCAAGUCGAACGCUUUUUCUUUCACCGGAGCUUGCUCCACCGAAAGAAAAGGAGUGGCGAACGGGUGAGUAACACGUGGGUAACCUGCCCAUCAGAAGGGGAUAACACUUGGAAACAGGUGCUAAUACCGUAUAACAAUCGAAACCGCAUGGUUUCGGUUUGAAAGGCGCUUUUGCGUCACUGAUGGAUGGACCCGCGGUGCAUUAGCUAGUUGGUGAGGUAACGGCUCACCAAGGCAACGAUGCAUAGCCGACCUGAGAGGGUGAUCGGCCACAUUGGGACUGAGACACGGCCCAAACUCCUACGGGAGGCAGCAGUAGGGAAUCUUCGGCAAUGGACGCAAGUCUGACCGAGCAACGCCGCGUGAGUGAAGAAGGUUUUCGGAUCGUAAAACUCUGUUGUUAGAGAAGAACAAGGAUGAGAGUAGAAUGUUCAUCCCUUGACGGUAUUCUACCCGAAAGCCACGGCUAACUACGUGCCAGCAGCCGCGUAAUUCGUAGGUGGCAAGCGUUGUCCGGAUUAAU
rnacentral:rRNA from 1 species